UGGGGGAUAUUGUACAAUGGGCGAAAGCCUGAUGCAGCGACGCCGCGUGGGGGAUGAAGGCCUUCGGGUUGUAAACUUCUUUUGCUCUGAACAAGGCAUGCCUUUGGGGUGUGUUGAGUGUAGGGGUUGAUUAGCGCCGGCUAACUACGUGCCAGCAGCCGCGGUAAUACGUAGGGCGCGAGCGUUGUCCGGAAUUAUUGGGCGUAAAGGGCUUGUAGGUGGCUGGUUGCGUCUGUCGUGAAAGCUCAUGGCUUAACUGUGGGUUUGCGGUGGGUACGGGCUGGCUUGAGUGCAGUAGGGGAGGCUGGAAUUCCUGGUGUAGCGGUGGAAUGCGCAGAUAUCAGGAGGAAUACCGGUGGCGAAGGCGGGUCUCUGGGCUGUUACUGACGCUGAGGAGCGAAAGCGUGGGGAGCGAACAGG
rnacentral:rRNA from 1 species